rnacentral:rRNA from 1 species
GACGAACGCUGGCGGCGUGCCUAAUACAUGCAAGUCGAGCGCAGGAAGCUGACGGAACUCUUCGGGGGGAAGGCAGUGGAAUGAGCGGCGGACGGGUGAGUAACACGUAAGGAACCUGCCUCCGGGAUUGGGAUAACUCCGAGAAAUCGGAGCUAAUACCGGAUAGUUCAACGGACCGCAUGGUCCGCUGAUGUAAGGCGCUUCGGCGUCACCUUGAGAUGGCCUUGCGGUGCAUUAGCUAGUUGGUGAGGUAACGGCCCACCAAGGCGACGAUGCAUAGCCGACCUGUGAGGGUGAUCGGCCACACUGGGACUGAGACACGGCCCAGACUCCUACGGGAGGCAGCAGUAGGGAAUCUUCCACAAUGGACGAAAGUCUGAUGGAGCAACGCCGCGUGAGUGAUGAAGGUUUUCGGAUCGUAAAACUCUGUUGUAAGGGAAGAACACGUACAAGAGGAAAUGCUCGUACCUUGACGGUACCUUACGAGAAAGCCACGGCUAACUACGUGCCAGCCGCCGCCGUAAGAC